GAUAUUAGUGUGUUCAUGAGUCUUAUCAAAAUGUUUUCAAAAGAAUUUUAUUGAGUCAAGAAGGGGAUAAUGAACUUAUUAGAUUUUUACUUGUUAUCUAAUCACUCUUUAGCACCAUUCUAGACUUAUUGAUUGCAGAUAGUACUAAGGAUACUAAAGUGGAUCAAUCUGUCAUCUUUUCGCACUUGCUGAGAUUGUUUGAAGAAACCAAAGAUGACUUCCAACACUAAACCUAACACAAUUGCUUGUCUUGGGGCUUGGUAUACAUGGGAUCGGAUUCUUCAAACAAGUCUGGAAGGUAAAGCCUUGUGUAGAUUUAUCACAUUUUCUCUCUCUAUUUCGACCCUAGAUUUAUAGGUAGAGAUAUUUAUUUUCAAAAAAAAAAAUGAAAAAGAAAAUAAAAAAGAAAAACAAAGAAAAAUAUAAAUUAUAUAUAUAGGUGUUAGUUAGGUGAAAUCCGAACAAGACUUGGUGGCUACAACAAUUAAGACUUGCUUCAUAAGGAUUCUAACAAAAAUAAUUCGAACGGGACUUGGUGGCGGCAAUCAUCAAGGUUCGAUUCAUAUGAAUUCUUGGAUAUAGGUCAAAAAGAAGUGAACAGGACUUGGUGGCAACCACCAUUAAGUUUUGAUUCAUGGAAGCCUGUCCAAUCUUUUUCAUUGAUCUUGCAAUAUAAGCAUACUUUACUAAAGAGAGAAAUUAGUAGAGAGAAAAAAUAGAAACUAACUUUUACCUGCAGAUCCAGAUACUUGUUUGAAAAUCAUUGCAUCAUGUGAUCGAUACUCCCAAGGUAAAGCUUGCACUUUUAUUUAUGUUAAGAAAAGAGGUUGGUAGAGGGGAAUGUCA
rnacentral:lncRNA from 1 species